rnacentral:rRNA from 1 species
UACGAAGGGGGCUAGCGUUGCUCGGAAUCACUGGGCGUAAAGCGCACGUAGGCGGACUCUUAAGUCGGUGGUGAAAUCCUGGAGCUCAACUCCAGAACUGCCUUCGAUACUGGGAGUCUCGAGUCCGAGAGAGGUGAGUGGAACUGCGAGUGUAGAGGUGAAAUUCGUAGAUAUUCGGAAGAACACCAGUGGCGAAGGCGACUUACUGGUCCAUUACUGACGCUGAGGCUCGAAAGCGUGGGGAGCAAACAGG